UCUCCGUUGGUGAACCAGCGGAGGGAUCAUUACCGAGUUCCAGCAACUCCCAACCCUUGCGAACCGUACCCCAGUCUGUUCUCGUUGCUUCCGGCAGGCGGGGGGGGCCACCUGGCCCCUCCCCCUGCCGGGGGCGGCGGGCCCUACGAACCUUUAUAUCUCAACCACCAGAAACCGUCUGAGAAAACAAACAAAAAAAUCAAAACUUUCAACAACGGAUCUCUUGGCUCUG
rnacentral:misc_RNA from 1 species